AGAUUGAACGCUGGCGGCAGGCCUAACACAUGCAAGUCGAGCGCGAAAGUUCCUUCGGGAAUGAGUAGAGCGGCGGACGGGUGAGUAACGCGUAGGAAUUUGCCCAGUAGUGGGGGACAACUCGGGGAAACUCGAGCUAAUACCGCAUACGCCCCAAGGGGGAAAGCAGGGGAUCUUCGGACCUUGCGCUAUUGGAUAAGCCUGCGUCGGAUUAGCUAGUUGGUGGGGUAAGGGCCUACCAAGGCAACGAUCCGUAGCUGGUCUGAGAGGAUGAUCAGCCACACUGGGACUGAGACACGGCCCAGACUCCUACGGGAGGCAGCAGUGGGAAUAUUGGACAAUGGGGGCAACCCUGAUCCAGCCAGUGCCGCGUGUGUGAAGAAGGCCGUUAGGGUUGUAAAGCACUUUCAGGUGGGAAGGAAAAGCGUGGCGGCUAAGUACUCCGUCGGCCCUGACCGUUACCCACAGAAGAAGCCGAACCGGCAAACGUCCGU
rnacentral:rRNA from 1 species